rnacentral:rRNA from 1 species
CCUACGGGGCGCAGCAGUGGGGAAUAUUGCACAAUGGGGGAAACCCUGAUGCAGCGACGCCGCGUGAGUGAAGAAGUAAUUCGUUAUGUAAAGCUCUAUCAGCAGGGAAGAAAAUGACGGUACCUGAGUAAUACGCCCCGGCUAACUACGUGCCAGCAGCCGCGGUAAGACGUAGGGGGCAAGCGUUAUCCGGAUUUACUGGGUGUAAAGGGAGCGUAGACGGCAGUGCAAGUCUGGAGUGAAAGGCGGGGGCUCAACCCCCGGACUGCUCUGGAAACUGUACGGCUGGAGUGCAGGAGAGGUAAGUGGAAUUCCUAGUGUAGCGGUGAAAUGCGUAGAUAUUAGGAGGAACACCAGUGGCGAAGGCGGCUUACUGGACUGUAACUGACGUUGAGGCUCGAAAGCGUGGGGAGCAAACAGGAUUAGAUACCCUAGUAGUC